CCGAGUUAUUACUCCAAACCCAUUGUGAAUCUUACCUUCUGUUCUGUUGUCUCGGCGGCGGUCCGCAGGCCUCCUACCCCUGUGAAUGGGGGAAAAAUAGGGGACCGGCUCCCCGCCGGCAGCACCAAACUCUUGGAUUUAUAGCGGAUUACAAAUCUCUGAUUAUAAGCAAGAAAAUGAAUCA
rnacentral:misc_RNA from 1 species